AUACGUAGGGUGCAAGCGUUAAUCGGAAUUACUGGGCGUAAAGCGUGCGCAGGCGGUUUUGUAAGACAGAGGUGAAAUCCCCGGGCUCAACCUGGGAACUGCCUUUGAGACUGCAAGGCUAGAGUACGGCAGAGGGGGGUGGAAUUCCGCGUGUAGCAGUGAAAUGCGUAGAUAUGCGGAGGAACACCGGUGGCGAAGGCAGUUCCCUGGGCCUGUACUGACGCUCAUGCACGAAAGCGUGGGGAGCAAACAGGAUUAGAUACCCGGGUAGUCCACGCCCUAAACGAUGUCAGCUGGUGGUGGGGUCUUCAUGGACUCAGUACCGAAGCUAACGCGUGAAGUAGACCGCCUGGGGAGUGCGGCCGCAAGAUUGAAACUCAAAGGAAUUGACGGGG
rnacentral:rRNA from 1 species